UACGGAGGGAGCUAGCGUUGUUCGGAAUUACUGGGCGUAAAGCGCGCGUAGGCGGCUUUGUAAGUUAGAGGUGAAAGCCCGGGGCUCAACUCCGGAAUUGCCUCUAAGACUGCAUCGCUAGAAUCCGGGAGAGGUGAGUGGAAUUCCGAGUGUAGAGGUGAAAUUCGUAGAUAUUCGGAAGAACACCAGUGGCGAAGGCGGCUCACUGGACCGGCAUUGACGCUGAGGUGCGAAAGCGUGGGGAGCAAACAGG
rnacentral:rRNA from 1 species